GCAAAGCUGGGGGAAGCUGUUAUUUGUGCUGCUGGUGUUGUUGGCAUGAAUACUUUGCUUGCUGGAAAAGGCAAAGGGUUGCACAUGUUUAAGAUGAAGAUUCUACCGCCUUCAAACACUCCAACUGUGCCUUGAGAGAGGCAACUGCAAAACCAUUGCAUGCAGUGGAAAGAUAGGGAGGCAGAAGGCAUAGCUGCCAGAAGGCCAUGACAGCUGGAUCUUAGACAAACAUUCUGUGUCAUGAGGAGGAAGCCAAAUUCUGAGGAUGGUGGAGCAGGAAGAUAGAAGUCAGAACCCCAAUGACCUUGUGAACUAUUCUACCGACUGUGAACAGACAACUCCGGACUUUUUUACAUGGGCAAGAAAUAAACUUCUUUCUUGUUUAAGGCA